UACGGGGGGAGCAAGCGUUGUUCGGAUUUACUGGCGUAAAGGGCGCGUAGGCGGUCAGCACAAGUCAGUUGUGAAAUCUCCGGGCUUAACUCGGAAAGGUCAACUGAUACUGUGCGACUAGAGUGCAGAAGGGGCAACUGGAAUUCUCGGUGUAGCGGUGAAAUGCGUAGAUAUCGAGAGGAACACCUGCGGCGAAGGCGGGUUGCUGGGCUGACACUGACGCUGAGGCGCGAAGCCAGGGGAGCGAACGGG
rnacentral:rRNA from 1 species